rnacentral:rRNA from 1 species
UACGAAGGGGGCUAGCGUUGUUCGGAAUCACUGGGCGUAAAGCGCACGCAGGCGGAUCGUUAAGUCAGGGGUGAAAUCCUGGAGCUCAACUCCAGAACUGCCUUUGAUACUGGAGAGCUUGAGUCCGGAAGAGGUGAGUGGAACUCCGAGUGUAGAGGUGAAAUUCGUAGAUAUUCGGAAGAACACCAGUGGCGAAGGCGGCUCACUGGUCCGGUACUGACGCUGAGGUGCGAAAGCGUGGGGAGCAAACAGG